rnacentral:tRNA from 1 species
GCGAUCGGGCAGGGGGCAAAGCCUUGCCAAGGUUGGGGUCGAGGGUUCGAAUCCCUUCGCCCGCUCCA